rnacentral:tRNA from 1 species
AUCUUCCUUGGUCUAGUGGUCAUGAUUUCCGCUUGUCAUCACGUGAUUACGAGCGCGGGAGACCGGGGUUCGAUUCCCCGAGGAGAGU